rnacentral:rRNA from 1 species
GAUGAACGCUGGCGGCGUGCCUAAUACAUGCAAGUCGAGCGAACAGACGAGGAGCUUGCUCCUCUGACGUUAGCGGCGGACGGGUGAGUAACACGUGGAUAACCUACCUAUAAGACUGGGAUAACUUCGGGAAACCGGAGCUAAUACCGGAUAACAUGUUGAACCGCAUGGUUCAACAGUGAAAGACGGUUUUGCUGUCACUUAUAGAUGGAUCCGCGUCGCAUUAGCUAGUUGGUAAGGUAACGGCUUACCAAGGCAACGAUGCGUAGCCGACCUGAGAGGGUGAUCGGCCACACUGGAACUGAGACACGGUCCAGACUCCUACGGGAGGCAGCAGUAGGGAAUCUUCCGCAAUGGGUGAAAGCCUGACGGAGCAACGCCGCGUGAGUGAAGAAGGUCUUCGGAUCGUAAAACUCUGUUAUUAGGGAAGAACAAAUGUGUAAGUAACUAUGCACGUCUUGACGGUACCUAAUCAGAAAGCCACGGCUAACUACGUG